rnacentral:lncRNA from 1 species
AAUUUUACUGAGAAUGUCGAAAAAAUUAAAGGUAUAGAAUGGAUAUAAGUGAUGAGUUAACGGAAUUAUGUUAUAUAGUCCCGGCAAAGAAAAACAUUAUUUGAGAGAUAGGAAUAGUGUGAAAAUGAGGCAUAAUGGUUGUUGUAUUGUAAGUGUACAUAGAUCUGAAAGGCAUUUCCCAGUUUGAGAAUUACUUGUACUUUCUUGUUUCAGAGUGGUGGGUGAAAAUUGAGGAAAAUGUAUAUUUAGGAUUCAUAUUGACGAGUUGGGGUUGAGGCGUAGUAGUAGUUGUUGUUGCUUUUAGAGUGGUAGUUCUUGUGACUAAUUCUUUUGGAAGAAUUCGUCGCUUUAAUUGAAGAUAAUUUGUCUAUUCGCACCUGUGUCAUAUCCUCCAAAAAUGCAUAACUUUGGGAGGAUCUGAGACACAUCCGGCGGUAUUUUUGAAGGCUCCGAGCAAUAUACUCUAUUGUUCUGUUAUGCUUUUGGAUGUGCUUAGCAAGCUUAGCCAUAGGAUUGUCAUACAAUUGGGAGUGAUCUAUGUGAAGCAAAUGUCCAUUCAGUUGCAGAGGCAUCUUUCCCCUGUCAUUUAAGUUGAGGGGGUUGUUCGUUUUGCAGCUUUAAAUUGUAAAGACUUCACCUGCCCGUCUUCUGUCCAAUAUCCAAGUUAUUGCAUUUGGCUCAAACAUCAAGACUGUAUCUUUGGUGAAUGCUCCCAUGCCCAAAUUGGUUUAGUCUUAUUCUUGCCUUCGGUAUGGCGUUCCCCCAAUUUCUUCUAAGCAUUUACGAUGUUAUGUAAGAAUAUUCUCUAGCUUUAUCACAGGAAGUUAUUAGAUCCAGUCUUAGGCUUGCCUACUUUUCUUUGGCGUACACCCAAGCUGUGUGUUCUAAGUAGCUGAGAUGUUAUUCCCUCAUUAUACGCACAUAAAGUUGUUGUUUCAGGAUGUUGCAAUCAAUGUGGCUGUUAAUGCAUUUUCCGACUCCUGAAUUGAAGUAUGGGAAUCUUUGUUUAUCAAAUCUGCUGCAAGCUUUUCUGAAUCAUCUGCCCUUGCCAACACUCGAGUAGGCCCCUUAUGCCUUAGGUAUUACCCGAGAGACCACAUAUACUCAGAAAAAGGUCCCAACAUUGUCUUGAAAUUGUACUGUGCAGAAAAAGAUUAUCAACUGAUUCCUGAUCCUCCUCACAUAAGUAGCACCUGUUAGCCAGGAGAAAAGCCAAAAUUCAUUGAUAAUAUGGAUAUGCAGUGCAUGUUUAUAGACGGCCCAAUACUUGUAAAAGAAAUUCAUUUAGACACUAAACAGGGGUCCAACUUAUUUAACACCU